CUCAACCAAGGAAUGGCAUUCGAAACUGUUGAGAUUGAGGCCAGCAGAGGAGAGUGGAAUUCCCGGUGUAGAGGUGAAAUUUGUAGAUAUCGGGAAGAACACCGUUAGCGAAGGCUACUCUCUAGUCUGGCUCUGACGCUGAGGUGCGAAAGCCAGGGGAGCGAGCAGGAUUAGAUACCCUGGUAGUCCUGGCUGUAAACGAUGGGCACUAGAUAUUCUUGCGCUAAAGCAGGAGUGUCGCAGUUAACGCGUUAAGUGCCCCACCUGGGGACUACGGUCGCAAGGCUGAAACUCAAAGGAAUUGACGGGGGCCUGCACAAGCGGUGGAGCAUAUGGUUUAAUUCGAUGAUACGCGAGGAACCUUACCAAGGUUUGACAUGCCGAUGACUACCUGGGGAACCAGGAUUUCCUUCUGGGACAU
rnacentral:rRNA from 1 species